GAUGAACGCUGGCGGCGUGCCUAAUACAUGCAAGUCGAGCGAACGGACGAGAAGCUUGCUUUUCUGAUGUUAGCGGCGGACGGGUGAGUAACACGUGGAUAACCUACCUAUAAGACUGGGAUAACUUCGGGAAACCGGAGCUAAUACCGGAUAAUAUUUUGAACCGCAUGGUUCAAUAGUGAAAGACGGUCUUGCUGUCACUUAUAGAUGGAUCCGCGCUGCAUUAGCUAGUUGGUAAGGUAACGGCUUACCAAGGCAACGAUGCAUAGCCGACCUGAGAGGGUGAUCGGCCACACUGGAACUGAGACACGGUCCAGACUCCUACGGGAGGCAGCAGUAGGGAAUCUUCCGAAAUGGGCGAAAGCCUGACGGAGCAACGCCGCGUGAGUGAUGAAGGUCUUCGGAUCGUAAAACUCUGUUAUUAGGGAAGAACAUAUGUGUAAGUAACUGUGCACAUCUUGACGGUACCUAAUAAGAAAGCCACGGCAAACUACGU
rnacentral:rRNA from 1 species